rnacentral:misc_RNA from 1 species
GGUUCGAAUCCGGCAGGUCGGAUUCUUUUUCCUUUUGUCCAUUUAAUUGUAUAUGCCUCACUCCUUCAAAGUCCAAGGCAGUGAAGGCACACAAGAAUUAAGCCUGGCCAGUAGACUGUAUAUGCAAGGAGAAUAGCAUAUUGAGAGAAUGGAAAUUUUUUAUUAAGCCCAUCAAGAUCACAACAUUAAUUAUAAAUGACAAAUUAGAUAGUUAAAU